rnacentral:rRNA from 1 species
UAGGGAAUCUUCCACAAUGGACGAAAGUCUGAUGGAGCAACGCCGCGUGAGUGAAGAAGGGUUUCGGCUCGUAAAACUCUGUUGUUAAAGAAGAACAUAUCUGAGAGUAACUGUUUAGGUAUUGACGGUAUUUAACCAGAAAGCCACGGCUAACUACGUGCCAA